UACGAAGGGGGCUAGCGUUGCUCGGAUUUACUGGGCGUAAAGGGCGCGUAGGCGGUUCGUACAGUCAGACGUGAAAUUCCUGGGCUCAACCUGGGGGCUGCGUUUGAUACGUGCGGACUUGAGUGCGGAAGAGGGUCGUGGAAUUCCCAGUGUAGAGGUGAAAUUCGUAGAUAUUGGGAAGAACACCGGUGGCGAAGGCGGCGACCUGGUCCGAUACUGACGCUGAGACUCGAAAGUGCGGGGAUCAAACAGG
rnacentral:rRNA from 1 species